GUGGGGAAUAUUGGACAAUGGGGGGAACCCUGAUCCAGCCAUGCCGCGUGUGUGAAGAAGGCCUUUUGGUUGUAAAGCACUUUAAGCGAGGAGGAGGCUACCGAGAUUAAUACUCUUGGAUAGUGGACGUUACUCGCAGAAUAAGCACCGGCUAACUCUGUGCCAGCAGCCGCGGUAAUACAGAGGGUGCAAGCGUUAAUCGGAUUUACUGGGCGUAAAGCGCGCGUAGGUGGCCAAUUAAGUCAAAUGUGAAAUCCCCGAGCUUAACUUGGGAAUUGCAUUCGAUACUGGUUGGCUAGAGUAUGGGAGAGGAUGGUAGAAUUCCAGGUGUAGCGGUGAAAUGCGUAGAGAUCUGGAGGAAUACCGAUGGCGAAGGCAGCCAUCUGGCCUAAUACUGACACUGAGGUGCGAAAGCAUGGGAGCAAACAGGAUUAGAUACCCCUGUAGUCC
rnacentral:rRNA from 1 species